GAUGAAGAACGCAGUGAAAUGCGAUACGUAAUGUGAAUUGCAGAAUUCAGUGAAUCAUCGAAUCUUUGAACGCACAUUGCGCCUGCCAGCACUCUGGCAGGCAUGCCUGUUCGAGCAUCAUUUCAACCAUCAAGCCCUAGGCUUGCGUUGGAGCCCUUCGGCUGCCGCAGGCCCCUAAAAGCAGUGGCGGGCUCGCUAUCACACCGAGUGCAGUAGAUUACUCUUCGCUCAGGGCGUGUGGCGGGUUCCAGCCGUGAAACCCCCUACUUCUCAAGGUUGACCUCGGAUCAGGUAGGAAUACCCGCUGAACUUAAGCAUAUCAAUAAGCGGAGGA
rnacentral:misc_RNA from 1 species